CAAACUAGUACUUUAAAUCUAGCCUCAAAUUUUGUACUAUUCCAAUUAUAUGAUAUUGAUUAUCAUCUUUCAUUUCUAAAAACAUGAUAUCUUUGUUAAAUUGAUCAAAAAUUUUCUAAAGGGAGAUCAGAUAUUUCAAUAUUUCCCAAUAAAGAUGCAGCAUGCUAUUCGACAAUACAUAUCAAAGAUCCUCCAUGAACUCGACGGCUUCGCCGCCGCCGACCACGAAAUUAACACCCUGUGAAUUUUAAACCAUCCCCUCCACAAAUCCACAAUCCUCUUGCUUCGAAUCAUCACCAAAUGCCUCGAAUCUUAAAUCGAAGACAUCGACCCCAAACCCUAGUUCACCCAGUCGCUCCCAAAAUCACACCAUCCAACUACUAGACCGCCCUCAUCCUUAAUCCCAACCCCGCUCCGUUUGUAUCACGCUAGAAUUUGUCGAAUACCAAAUCUAAAGAGCGAACCAUGCAAACCAAACUGAGUCGAUCCGAGUUGGGGUUUAAACUUGAGGUUUAAUCGACCUUAGUCGAGUAUUCUCAGUCGAGAACACUCGAUUAAGGUCUGUUUUGGCCUCAAAAGCUCGAGUCAAAGCUUCGACUGAUCGGAGUUCGUUUGGUUUGUCAUUUUGAGGUGUUUUUCCUUUCCUUUUCUGUUCUGCUUUGUCAUUGUUUAUUUGGUUAGGAUUGUGGUGUUUUGUUUGACUUUUCAUUAUUUUGUCGAUUAUCUUAUUCUCCUCUUCUGGACCUUUUUUUUGGUCCAAAUUUUCCGUGGUUGAUUAGCAUAUGCCAUGAACUAUGAGUCGAUACGAUAAGUUGCGUCCAUUGGUCCGUUUUCUGUUAAGUUAAUUCAUGCUUUAAAGUGUUAUGUGUACGUCUGUUUCUCUGAUUUUAGUUUUAUUUUCAGUUCUGUUCGGAUUAAAUAUUUGUCCAUGGGUUGUUAGUAUAUGUAAAAUCCAUGAUGAUUUCCAAGGGUUUUCUUACUGUUAAUCGCAUCACAUUGAAUUUUUGUUUUGGUUGAUGUUCAAUCCCCUAUACUACUCAAGGUUGAGUCUUGAGUCAGUAAAUAACUGUUGCUGCCCUGAGUUCUUGAUCCAGUUUCUUUCCUUUUCUGUUUGUAUCCAUGAACAUUUCAGACUGAUUUUGAUAGGUUUUGAAUUGGUUGUAGUUGACGAUUAGUUCAGUUAGUUGAUUAGGAGGAUUUGGUAUAGCUGAUAGGGAAUAAUUGCAGUGAAACACACCCACUUUAGGGGGGGGGGGGGGUAGUUCGGGAAUUAAAAAGUUGAAAUGGUCUAAUAAAUUAGUAUGUCAGUCGGAUUACUAGUGAGAUAUUAAACUAAUUCCAUUAGCUAAUGUAUAAAGGGGAUCAGUAGUGGAAGUGACAACUUUUAAUCACCUUUUGCUAAUUGAAAAUUAGAAACAAUAUAUUAAUAAUGAAAAGCUAAAAGAUACACAUAGUAGAUGAAUAUAGAAGCUGGAAAGUAAAAAGAAGUAUAAGUAAUAAUAAAAGGUGAUAGUAAAAGAAAAAAGAAGAGCGGGAAAGAGGGGUCUAGUGGUGGAUAUAAAUAGAAGAGGUCUUAGACAGAGUAAGGGGGGAAUCCAUUGGAGAAGUCAGUAGUGUUAGAGAAAAUUAUACUAGCUUCUGGAAAUCCUUAAUGAGAGAAAAUUGAGAGAUAAGAACAGAAAGGUGAGGUUUCUUUUGCCAUCGGAAAUCAGUGCUAGUAUUUGCUACUGCUUCAUUUGAAGUUCCAAGUUUCUUUCUCCAAGUGUUUGAAGAUCAGAAACUUACUGUUCUAUUGGUUGUUGCGGGGUUUUAAAUCUGUUGUUGGGUUUCGGUUCCCCUGGUUGUUGCUGGAGUUUGUGUUACUGGUUUUAUAAAUCUGUUACUGGGUUGUGGACUGCCUGUUUCUGGUUAUCAUUGUUGUUGUUGUACUACUGUUGCGUUGCUACCACUGACUCCUUCAGUUACUUGUAUUCUAACAUCCAGGUACACAGCUGACACUAUUGUAAGCUGAAAUAUGGAAGCAUGAAUAUAAAAAUAUGAAGGGUUGAAGGUGUAACUUAAUGUAGUUUCUUCUUUUUCUUUACUGAUUGUAUUUAGGACAUUCUGUACAUUAUUUUCAUGUAAACUUCUGCCGCAAAACUGCAUAACUGGACAAUACUUAUUUUUAGCAGUUUAGUUAGCAAACUUCCUAUGUAUGCCCAGUUAAAAGAGAUUGAUGUUGUUGUAGCAAUGUUCUAUUAUUCUGGUAUUAUUUGCUAAGUAGUAUUUUUCAAAAGUUAAAGUCGGAAGUAAGCUAGAACAGGAAGUUAUUUUGUUUAGGACUUGUGAUUGUCGUUCAAUAGUUGAUACCUAGAAAUUCCAAAGUUGUGAGUUGUUAGUAACCGUAACAUGGUUUAGUUUGUAGGUUACUAAUGAAGUAAGGUAUAUGGUGUCACAAUUAUUUUUUAAGU
rnacentral:lncRNA from 1 species